CCUGGACGGCUGCAGAGCUUCCUUCGUGGGAACAUAUUCUUCCGGGUAGUGUCACCUCCUUGUGGGCCAUACAAAAAUGUCUCCCGUCUAUGGAUUUUCCACUUUCGUGCUUCUUAUCGUGACCUUCCUGGCGGCCGAAGGAGAGGCGUGCGACAUUGCUAAACAAACCAUGAACACAGUGUGUAGUAUCCUCGGGCGCGAGGACAAGGCUGCCCACAUUCCUUACCUCUGAGGAAAAUUUCAGUAGCGGCACCAGUCCAGCCGAG
rnacentral:lncRNA from 1 species